UUGAACGCUGGCGGCAGGCCUAACACCUGCAAGUCGAGCGGAUGAAGGGAGCUUGCUCCUGGAUUCAGCGGCGGACGGGUGAGUAAUGCCUAGGAAUCUGCCUGGUAGUGGGGGAUAACGUCCGGAAACGGGCGCUAAUACCGCAUACGUCCUGAGGGAGAAAGUGGGGGAUCUUCGGACCUCACGCUAUCAGAUGAGCCUAGGUCGGAUUAGCUAGUUGGUGGGGUAAAGGCCUACCAAGGCGACGAUCCGUAACUGGUCUGAGAGGAUGAUCAGUCACACUGGAACUGAGACACGGUCCAGACUCCUACGGGAGGCAGCAGUGGGGAAUAUUGGACAAUGGGCGAAAGCCUGAUCCAGCCAUGCCGCGUGUGUGAAGAAGGUCUUCGGAUUGUAAAGCACUUUAAGUUGGGAGGAAGGGCAGUAAGUUAAUACCUUGCUGUUUUGACGUUACCAACAGAAUAAGCACCGGCUAACCUCGUG
rnacentral:rRNA from 1 species